rnacentral:rRNA from 1 species
UACGGAGGGAGCUAGCGUUGUUCGGAAUUACUGGGCGUAAAGCGCGUGUAGGCGGUUAUCCAAGUCGGGUGUGAAAGCCUUGAGCUCAACUCAAGAAAUGCACUCGGUACUGGGUGACUAGAGGACCGGAGAGGAUAGUGGAAUUCCCAGUGUAGUGGUGAAAUACGUAGAGAUUGGGAAGAACACCAGUGGCGAAGGCGGCUAUCUGGACGGUUUCUGACACUAAGACGCGCAAGCGUGGGGAGCAAACAGG